rnacentral:ncRNA from 1 species
AAAAGGGUAGCUGAAAACUUAAUAGAGUAGGCA